UCGAAUUAAGUGGUGCUGGUAACAGAUCCUGUAUUACAAUUGCAUAAAGACUUGAUUGGUGGCAGCCAGAUGGAGAUAGCUGAAAAUCACCAGGUCCUGCUGAGAGCCAAUAUCUAAGUGAUCCUUUUCUACACUUGGAAGCACUUACAGUUUGUAUGAGUAUUUUUCGUAUGCUUCCGCGAUCAAAUGGAGGAUCUAUUUUAGACAAGGAUGCUGACCUUAAAAAGCGAUCAAGGUGUUGAUCUAGCUCAUAUAAGUAUCUGCAAUGCACAAAAUACAACAUGUGACCACUUUAGAAUGUAGUAAGCUAAAGUUUAGGGAUACUUAAAAACAAGACAUUUCCAUAGGUCAUUAUUAUAAACAAUCAUACUUCAUAACAUUAUAUAUUUAGUACUAAACUGCAUAUGCUAAGGUUGUAUCAUGUUCACUAACCCGUCGAUUAUUGCUGCCGUAUCGAAGACACCGUGACCCCUGUGGACCAUGUGGUCAUCCAUAGGAAUAACCAUAGCAGCUGGAUCCGUUGUUAUCCCACCGAAAAUGCUAGAAUACAUGGCAAGGUAUUGCUGCUUACCUUUUAUGCUUUCUCUAAAUGUUUUCAACCUUUCAAUGGCCUUAUUCAUGCAACAACAACAGCAAAAUGAAAUCAUUAGUAACACAAGAAUUGCUCAUUUAAAAUAAUUAUUUUUGUGAUUUAAAUUACUGCUAACAUAGUAUACUCAGUAACAGUUUUAAAUUGUGAUCCGCUAGCAUAAUUGUGGCCGUAAUAUUUGAUUCUGGGUCUCUAAAACCAUAUCUUGGCCGUAAUUAUAAUUGCAUGGGCCGCACUUUUUCCACAAUUGAGAUAAAAGAAACAUAACCGUAAUUGUAAUCACAACCGCAAUUUAAAAUAAACUUACAACAGUUGGCAAGUAAAAUUGGCAAUGCGAAAUGGAAAAUAAAAAAUAGUGAGGAGAAAUGUAUCUAUCUACCUCUGAGCAAGAUAAAAGUGGAACAUCAGACACUUCAGUUUUAGAAUCUGCAAUGCCAAAACACUCCAUUAGUUUAGAGACUCAAUUACUUUCAAGUGUAUUACUACUACUAGUUCACACCUUUUUCUAUCAAUUUGGCCCCUAAGAUUGAAAUUCAUCAAUUUCUUCUAUGACAUUGUAAAAAUUGUCAAUUUAGUUUUAAAACUUACACAUUAUCAAUCAAUUCUUAUAAUCCAAGGACCAAAUUCAUCAACAAUGUGAGUAUUACAAUCUCAAGGACAUAUUUAAUUUGAUAUCAUUCAUCACUUUUUACAUUAAUUUUAUAAAAUCUUACUCGAUACUCGUAAGUAAGGUCCAGUAAUGCGAAUGAGAGAAUUAUAUAACUUUUUUAUAUUAAUAAUGUGCAAAGUCAACGGAUGAAAUUAAUGUUUUUAAAAUCUCAUGGACCAAACACAUCGAGAUUGCCAAUAGGACAAUCUCGACAACAAAAUUAAUGUCGAGUGUUUUAAAUUGUACUUCGCAGCUGCAAUUGUGGUCACAAUAUCGGCAAUUGCGGUAAAUGCAAUUUAUUAUUUAAAAGAUGACAUUAGAACAUACCUAGUCGUUGUUGUGAUUGGUUGGAAAUUGUGAGGGAGACACGUGGAUGAAUGCAGUGUCUAUGUGAUGAAAGAAGAGGAGAAUGAUGAAGCAAUUUUGAUGAUAAUAAUAAUAAUGAAGGUUGAUUUUGUGAAAGAAGGAAAUGAAUUGAAGCCAUGGAAGGUUAAAUGUGAACACUACACUCACGUGGAAACUGAAAGCAAAAACGGUAACCACUACUUCCUAUAAAGAUACAGAUACAUCAAUUAUCUAUAUCUAAAGUGAGGCAUUAUAAGCUCCUUCUGUUUAGUGACAAAAGCAACAUUCAUAUUAGGCCCUUCAGCAACAAACCCAUCACUAUCAAGCCAAAUCCCUGCAAAUGCACCGACUUCUUCAGCCUCCACCUUCGAGAGCACAUUUGGAAGGUAAUUCACACUCUUCGCGGUUGCAAACUGGGGUGGUUUAAUGGGGAUAGAUGAAGUAACUACUUUAACGCCCCUCGAAUUAAGUGGUGCUGGUAACAGAUCCUGUAUUACAAUUGCAUAAAGACUUGAUUGGUGGCAGCCAGAUGGAGAUAGCUGAAAAUCACCAGGUCCUGCUGAGAGCCAAUAUCUAAGUGAUCCUUUUCUACACUUGGAAGCACUUACAGUUUGUAUGAGUAUUUUUCGUAUGCUUCCGCGAUCAAAUGGAGGAUCUAUUUUAGACAAGGAUGCUGACCUUAA
rnacentral:lncRNA from 1 species